rnacentral:siRNA from 1 species
AAACUACUCAUAGAAGAUGACUCC